CCAUUUGCCGCAGUUUUAAAGGGAU
rnacentral:piRNA from 1 species